AAGACCUACAACAACAAGAAAAGCACUUUCAAGAAAAAAAACAGCAAUCAAACAACCUUAGAGCUUAAUAUUUUCACAUUCUUCUUACAUACACUUGUGAGCUUUAUCUCUAUUCUGUUUCUCAAGUGUAUUUUGUAACGGGCCUAUUUUUCUCGGGCCCAAAUCAGACCAAAAAAACAAACACAAAAAAAAUAAAUAAAAAUCCCAAAUAUUAACAUUCCACCAGACCCAAAUUACAAGCCCAAAAAAAUAAAAAACCCUAAGGCCCAACAAGCCCACAACCUAAACAGAAAAAAACAAAGAAAACCCUAGCCCCUAGCCUGCUGUCGCCACAGCUAGCCCCUGACACCUCUGCCAUCG
rnacentral:lncRNA from 1 species